GACGAACGCUGGCGGCGUGCUUAACACAUGCAAGUCGAACGGACGGGUUGGAGCUUGCUCCAUGAAGUUAGUGGCGGACAGGUGAGUAACGCGUGGGUAACCUGCCCUAUGCAGGGGGAUAACGUUUGGAAACGAACGCUAAUACCGCAUAACCUAGUUAGUUCGCAUGAACUGGCUAGCAAAGAUUUUAUCGGCAUAGGAUGGACCCGCGUUGGAUUAGCUAGUUGGUGAGAUAACAGCCCACCAAGGCAACGAUCCAUAGCCGGCCUGAGAGGGUGAACGGCCACACUGGGACUGAGACACGGCCCAGACUCCUACGGGAGGCAGCAGUGGGGAAUAUUGCACAAUGGGCGCAAGCCUGAUGCAGCGACGCCGCGUGAAGGAUGAAGGUCUUCGGAUCGUAAACUUCUAUCAGCAGGGAAGAAACCAUGACGGUACCUGACUAAGAAGCCCCGGCUAACUACGUGCCAGCAGCCGCGGUAAUACGUAGGGGGCAAGCGUUAUCCGGAAUUACUGGGUGUAAAGGGUGCGUAGGCGGCGAUUUAAGUCAGAUGUGAAAACUCAGGGCUCAACCUUGAGACUGCAUCUGAAACUGAGUUGCUAGAGUGCAGGAGAGGAAAGCGGAAUUCCGAGUGUAGCGGUGAAAUGCGUAGAGAUUCGGAGGAACACCAGUAGCGAAGGCGGCUUUCUGGACUGUAACUGACGCUGAGGCA
rnacentral:rRNA from 1 species